GGGCACAUGGUGUAGUUGGUUAUCACAUCCGCUUAGCAUAGAAAUGAGAAUGUGUUCGUCAGCUUGCGGGGGGUGCUGGGUUCAAUUCCCAGUGUGUCCA